rnacentral:rRNA from 1 species
UCGGGAAUUUUGGGCAAUGGGCGAAAGCCUGACCCAGCAACGCCGCGUGAAGGAUGAAGUAUUUCGGUAUGUAAACUUCGAAAGAAUAGGAAGAAUAAAUGACGGUACUAUUUAUAAGGUCCGGCUAACUACGUGCCAGCAGCCGCGGUAAUACGUAGGGACCAAGCGUUGUUCGGAUUUAUUGGGCGUAAAGGGUGCGUAGGUUGUUUGAUAAGAUAUAUGUGAAAUACCUGGGCUCAACCUGGGAAGGUCAUAUAAGACUGUCAGACUCGAGUAUGGGAGAGGGUAGAGGAAUUUCCGGUGUAGCGGUGAAAUGCGUAGAUAUCGGAAGGAACAUCGGUGGCGAAGGCGUCUACCUGGCCUAAUACUGACACUGAGGCACGAAAGCGUGGGGAGCAAACAGGAUUAGAUACCCGUGUAGUCCCUGAGCGGGCUGGCAAGGCGCAU